GAGGGAAUAGCUCAGUGGUAGAGUGCAUGCACAAGGUCCUGGGUUCAAUUCCUAGUACUUUUG
rnacentral:tRNA from 1 species